rnacentral:rRNA from 1 species
GAGUUUGAUCCUGGCUCAGAACGAACGCUGGCGGCGUGCUUAACACAUGCAAGUCGAACGAGAAAAUCGUAGCAAUACGGUGAGUAAAGUGGCGCACGGGUCCGUAACACGUGGAUAAUCUUCCUUCGGGCGGGGGAUAACCUGUCGAAAGACGAGCUAAUACCCCAUAAGACCACAGGAUCUUAGGAUCAAGGGGUCAAAGGUGGCCUCCAUUUAUGAGCUAUCACCUGAAGAUGAGUCCGCGCACCAUUAGCUAGUUGGCGGGGUAACGGCCCACCAAGGCUCAGAUGGUUAGCUGGUCUGAGAGGACGAUCAGCGACACUGGAACUGAGACACGGUCCAGACUCCUACGGGAGGCAGCAGUGGGGAAUCUUGGACAAUGGGCGAAAGCCUGAUCCAGCAACGCCGCGUGAGUGAUGAAGGCCUUCGGGUUGUAAAGCUCUGUCGGCUGGGACGAAACAGGGUGACCUAACACGUCAUCUGAUGACGGUACCAGCAAAGGAAGCACCGGCUAACUCUGUGCCAGCAGCCGCGGUAAUACAGAGGGUGCAAGCGUUGUUCGGAAUCACUGGGCGUAAAGGGCGUGUAGGCGGUGGAGUGUGUCUGAUGUGAAAUCCCUCGGCUUAACUGAGGAAGUGCAUCGGAAACUACUCCGCUUGAGUGCGGGAGAGGAUGGCGGAAUUCCCAGAGUAGAGGUGAAAUUCGUAGAUACUGGGAGGAACACCAGAGGCGAAGGCGGCCAUCUGGCCCGUUACUGACGCUGAGACGCGAAAGCGUGGGGAGCAAACAGGAUUAGAUAC